rnacentral:rRNA from 1 species
AAUCAACGCUGGCGGCGUGCCUCAGACAUGCAAGUCGAACGAUUAAAGCUCUCUUCGGAGAGUGCAUAAAGUGGCGCACGGGUGAGUAACACGUAAGUAAUCUACCUUCGAGUGGGGAAUAACGUCCGGAAACGGACGCUAAUACCGCAUAACGCAGCGGCAUCGCAAGAUGACAGUUGUUAAAGAUUUAUCGCUUGAAGAGGAGCUUGCGGCAGAUUAGCUUGUUGGUAAGGUAACGGCUUACCAAGGCUACGAUCUGUAUCCGGUCUAAGAGGACGGUCGGACACACUGACACUGAAUAACGGGUCAGACUCCUACGGGAGGCAGCAGUCGGGAAUUUUGGGCAAUGGGGGAAACCCUGACCCAGCAACGCCGCGUGAAGGAUGAAGUAUUUCGGUAUGUAAACUUACGAAAGAA